rnacentral:misc_RNA from 1 species
GGAAGUAAAAUAACAAGGUCUCCGUUGGUGAACCAGCGGAGGGAUCAUUACAGAGUUGCAAAACUCCCAAACCAUUGUGAACGUUACCUAUCCCGUUGCUUCGGCGGGCGGCCCGGGCCCCGCGCCCGGCGCCCCCCGGCCCCCCGUGGGCGCCCGCCGGAGGUAAACCAAACCCUUGAAUUGCAUGGCCUCUCUGAGUCUUCUGUACUGAAUAAGUCAAAACUUUCAACAACGGAUCUCUUGGUUCUG